rnacentral:tRNA from 1 species
GGCUCCGUAGCUCAACUGGAUAGAGCAGCAGUCUUCUAAACCGCAGGUUGCGUGUUCGAAUCACGCCGGAGCCACCA